rnacentral:rRNA from 1 species
UACGGCCAUACCACCCUGAACGCGCCGGAUCUCGUCUGAUCUCGGAAGCUAAGCAGGGUCGGGCCUGGUUAGUACUUGGAUGGGAGUGCAAGGCUCAGGGAGGUUAAGUAA